rnacentral:rRNA from 1 species
UUUUAUGGUAUAUCAUGUUGAAAGCACCAGUUCUCAUUCGGUCACCUAAGUUAAGCAAUGUCGUGACUUGUUAGUACUUAGAUAUGUGACCACUUGGGAAACCUAGGUGCUGUAACCA